CUGGUUGAUCCUGCCAGUAGUCAUAUGCUUGUCUUAAAGACUAAGCCAUGCAUGUCUAAGUAUAAGUAUUAUACAGCGAAACUGCGAAUGGCUCAUUAAAACAGUUAUAGUUUAUUCGAUUAUUUUCUCCUACAUGGAUAACCGUAGUAAUUCUAGAGCUAAUACAUGCUGUCAAACCUGACUUUUGUGGAUAAGGUUGUAUUUAUUAGAUAUAAAACCAAUACCUUCGGGUUUUGUGAUGAUUCAUAAUAACUGAGCGGAUCGCGGCCUUGCCGCGACGAAUCGUUCAAGUUUCUGCCCUAUCAACUUUCGAUGGUAGGAUAGUGGCCUACCAUGGUUUCAACGGGUAACGGGGAAUUAGGGUUCUAUUCCGGAGAGGGAGCCUGAGAAACGGCUACCACAUCCAAGGAAGGCAGCAGGCGCGCAAAUUACCCAAUCCCGACACGGGGAGGUAGUGACAAUAAAUACUGAUACAGGGCUCUUUUGGGUCUUGUAAUUGGAAUGAGUACAAUUUAAAUCCCUUAACGAGGAACAAUUGGAGGGCCAAGUCUGGU
rnacentral:rRNA from 1 species